rnacentral:rRNA from 1 species
UACAGAGGGUGCUAGCGUUAAUCGGAAUUACUGGGCGUAAAGCGUGCGCAGGCGGUUCUCCAAGUCCGUUGUGAAAGCCCCGGGCUCAACCUGGGAAUGGCAGUGGAAACUAGGGGACUGGAAUCUGGCAGAGGGGGGUGGAAUGCCGCGUGUAGCAGUGAAAUGCGUAGAGAUGCGGCGGAACACCGAUGGCGAAGGCAGCCCCCUGGGCUGAGAUUGACGCUCAGGCACGAAAGCGUGGGGAGCAAACAGG